GACGAACGCUGGCGGCGUGCUUAACACAUGCAAGUCGAACGGAAAGGCCCUGCUUUUGUGGGGUGCUCGAGUGGCGAACGGGUGAGUAACACGUGAGUAACCUGCCCUUGACUUUGGGAUAACUUCAGGAAACUGGGGCUAAUACCGGAUAGGAGCUCCUGCUGCAUGGUGGGGGUUGGAAAGUUUCGGCGGUUGGGGAUGGACUCGCGGCUUAUCAGCUUGUUGGUGGGGUAGUGGCUUACCAAGGCUUUGACGGGUAGCCGGCCUGAGAGGGUGACCGGCGACAUUGGGACUGAGAUACGGCGCAGACUCCUACGGGAGGCAACGGUGGGGAAUAUUGCACAAUGGGCGGAAGCCUGAUGCAGCAACGCCGCGUGCGGGAUGACGGCCUUCGGGUUGUAAACCGCUUUCGCCUGUGACGAAGCGUGAGUGACGGUAAUGGGUAAAGAAGCACCGGCUAACUACGUG
rnacentral:rRNA from 1 species